rnacentral:rRNA from 1 species
UACGUAGGGUGCUAGCGUUGUCCGGAUUUAUUGGGCGUAAAGAGCGUGUAGGCGGCCUGAAAGGUCAGCUGUGAAAACUCGAGGCUCAACCUCGAGACGUCGGUUGAAACCAUCUGGCUAGAGUCCGGAAGAGGAGAGUGGAAUUCCCGGUGUAGCGGUGAAAUGCGCAGAUAUCGGGAAGAACACCCGUGGCGAAGGCGGCUCUCUGGGACGGUACUGACGCUGAGACGCGAAAGCGUGGGGAGCGAACAGG